GGAGGAGUAUCGAAGUGGUCAUAACGAGAGCGACUCGAAAUCGUUUGACGGUGUAAACCGUCCGUGGGUUCGAAUCCCACCUCCUCCGCCA
rnacentral:tRNA from 1 species